rnacentral:ncRNA from 1 species
GAGUAGUGAUUUCUCAUUACUCGGACGAGAUGCGCCGUACCCGGUUAAGACAAGACGACGCCUU